rnacentral:rRNA from 1 species
AGUGAACGCUGGUGGUAGGCCUAACACAUGCAAGUCGAACGGCAGCACAGUAAGAGCUUGCUCUUACGGGUGGCGAGUGGCGGACGGGUGAGGAAUACAUCGGAAUCUACUUUUUCGUGGGGGAUAACGUAGGGAAACUUACGCUAAUACCGCAUACGACCUACGGGUGAAAGCAGGGGAUCUUCGGACCUUGCGCGAUUGAAUGAGCCGAUGUCGGAUUAGCUAGUUGGCGGGGUAAAGGCCCACCAAGGCGACGAUCCGUAGCUGGUCUGAGAGGAUGAUCAGCCACACUGGAACUGAGACACGGUCCAGACUCCUACGGGAGGCAGCAGUGGGGAAUAUUGGACAAUGGGCGCAAGCCUGAUCCAGCCAUACCGCGUGGGUGAAGGAGGCCUUCGGGUUGUAAAGCCCUUUUGUUGGGAAAGAAAAGCAGCAGGUUAAUACCCCGCUGUUCUGACGGUACCCAAAGAAUAAGCACCGGCUAACUUCGUG